rnacentral:rRNA from 1 species
GAUGAACGCUGGCGGCGUGCUUAACACAUGCAAGUCGAACGUGAGAAUAGCAAUAUUUGAAAGUGGCAAACGGGUGAGUAACACGUGGGAACCUGCCUCGAAGUGGGGGAUAACGAUUGGAAACGGUCGCUAAUACCGCACGGUUCUGCUCUGAUGGGAAUGGAGCAGAUAAAGAUUUAUCGCUUUGAGAGGGGCCCGCGGCCCGAUUAGCUAGUUGGUAAGGUAAAGGCUUACCAAGGCGAUUAUCGGUAGCUGGUCUGAGAGGACGAUCAGCCACACGGGAACUGAGACACGGUCCCGACUCCUACGGGGGGCAGCAGUGAGGAAUAUUGGGCAAUGGGCGAAAGCCUGACCCAGCAACGCCGCGUGGAGGAUGAAGGCUUUAGGGUUGUAAACUCCUUUUGUGGGGGAAAAGAAUGGAUGGUACCCCAAGAAUAAGUCACGGCUAACUACGUG